UUAUCUUUAACUCCUGCCCGGAUGGUCUUUGGAGAAAGAAUUGCUUCUCAUGAUGACAGGUUUCUACUACACUUAGCGGACAAAACUGGUGGCAUAAUUGUGACAAAUGAUAAUUUCAGAGAAUUUGUGAAUGAGUCAGUCUCUUGGAGAGAAAUUAUUACAAAAAGAGAUAUGCAGCCCCUACUCAGUGCCCUGCCAAAUGUGGGCAUGUUUGACCCCAGCUUCAGAGUCCCUGGCACCCAGGCAGCCAGCACCAGCCACCAGCCUCCGACCCGGAUUCAGGGAGCCCCUUCAAGCCACUGGCUCCCUCAGCAGCCCCACUUCCCACUGCUGCCAGCCCUCCCCAGUCUCCAGCAGAACCUGCCCAUGCCAGCUCAGAGAUCUUCUGCAGAAACCAACGAGCUGAGGGAAGCCCUUCUGAAGAUCUUCCCUGACUCAGAGCAAAGACUGAAAAUAGACCAGAUCUUGGUGGCCCACCCAUACAUGAAAGAUCUAAAUGCGCUUUCUGCCAUGGUGUUGGAUUGAAGAUUGUGCUGAGCGCUGAGCUUG
rnacentral:lncRNA from 1 species